rnacentral:rRNA from 1 species
GACGAACGCUGGCGGCGUGCCUAAUACAUGCAAGUCGAGCGGACGAAUCGAAAGCUUGCUUUUGAUUCGUUAGCGGCGGACGGGUGAGUAACACGUGGGCAACCUGCCCUGUAGACGGGGAUAACACCGAGAAAUCGGUGCUAAUACCGGAUAACACGAAAUGUCGCAUGACGUUUCGUUGAAAGACGGCGCAAGCUGCCGCUACAGGAUGGGCCCGCGGCGCAUUAGCUAGUUGGUGAGGUAACGGCUCACCAAGGCGACGAUACGUAGCCGACCUGAGAGGGUGAUCGGCCACACUGGGACUGAGACACGGCCCAGACUCCUACGGGAGGCAGCAGUAGGGAAUCUUCCGCAAUGGACGAAAGUCUGGCGGAGCAACGCCGCGUGAGCGAAGAAGGCCUUCGGGUCGUAAAGCUCUGUUGUUAGGGAAGAACAAGUAACGCAGUAACUGGCGUUACCGUGACGGUACCUAACGAGAAAGCCACGGCUAACUACGUG